rnacentral:rRNA from 1 species
UACGGGGGGAGCAAGCGUUGUUCGGAUUUACUGGGCGUAAAGCGUGCGCAGGCGGUUCGUUGUGUCGGUGGUGAAAGCCCCGGGCUUAACCUGGGAAUGGCCAUGGAAACUGGCGAACUGGAGUGUGGCAGAGGGGGGGUGGAAUUCCGCGUGUAGCAGUGAAAUGCGUAGAGAUGCGGAGGAACACCGAUGGCGAAGGCAGCCCCCUGGGCUAGCACUGACGCUCAGGCAUGAAAGCGUGGGGAGCAAACAGG